rnacentral:lncRNA from 1 species
CAUCAGGAGAGCUUGCAAGACCUCUUUCAUGAAAGAUUCAUUUUCCCCCUGUAGGAUCAUACUCAGCUUUGCUGAGUAAGUUACUCUUGAUUGUAAGCCUGCAUCCCUUGCCUUCAGUAAUAUCAUGUUUCAACCUUUCUGUUCCUUCAUAGUAGUUGUGCUAAAUCAUAUCUUUUCUUGACUGGGACUUUGCGGUACUUGAAUUAAUUUUUUUCUGUUUUGUUUUGUUUUGUCUGCCUGCAGCACUUUUUCUUUGACCCGGAAGCUCUGGAUUUGGGCUCUUUUCUUUGUGAAAUUUCUCCAAGGAACUGACUGAGAGAUUAUUUCUAUUUCUACUUUGCCUUUGGGUUCUAAGAGAUCUGAGCAGUUUUAAGAUUUCUUGAGAUAUGAUGUGUAGGCUCUUUUUUUUUUUUUGGUAAUGGCAUUCAAAUAGUUCAGUAAUUCUUAAAUUAUAUCUCUUCCAUCUGUUUCCCAGGUCAGGUUUUUUUUAUAUGAAAUGUCUUAAAUUUUCUUUUUUUCUAGUUUUCUGACUUUAAUAUCUUUUAUUGUAUCAUGGAAUGAUUAACUUCCACUUGAUCCAUUCUGAUUUUUAGGAUGCUUGCUGCUUGGGUCAAGUUCCUGCCUUCUGGGGCUGAGCAGAGUCAGGCUAAUCUCUUCCCUGCCGCAUGUGACAAAGCCGCCCAAGCAGUGGGAGACAGCCAUCAUCCUCCCCUUCCCCGUCCCCACCUCCCAAUCUUCCCUUCACUCAGCUUCUUAUGGCCUUUCCCCAUUGAAUUGAAUUGAAGUGAGUUGACUAAGGGUCCCAAGGCUGGAGUCCAGGCCCCAGGGAUCAGGGCCAGUGAUCUUGACCCAGCCCCAGGGAUCAGGGCCAGUGAUCUUGACCCAGCCCCAGGGAUCAGGGCCAGUGAUCUUGACCCACUUGUCUCUCCUCAGUUUCGAAAAAACGUCCAGGAUGUGCUGGCCGACAUGCCCAACCCUGACGACUAUUUCCUCCUUCGCUGGCUCCGAGGAGCUGAGCACGUCAUGGGCUGCAUUCUGCAUGCCCCUUGUGUUCCAGAUGAAGAAACUGAGGACAGAGCGAGGAACGAGACUUUAUUAAGUGCCCGCCAUGUGCCAGACGGUAUACUAAGCACUUUACAAUCACUGUCUCACCUGACCCUCUCCACAACACGAUCAGCCGGCUGCUGUUAUUACCCCCAUUUUACAGUUGAGGAAACUGAGGCAGAUAGAAGUUAAGUGGCUUGUCCAGGCUCACAUAGCUGCUAUGUGUCUGAGGCUGGAUUUGAACUCAGGACUCCCGACUCCAGGCUCAUCGCUCUGUGUACUGUACCCUUGGGCUACCUCGGAAGCAGCUUGCCCAGAGUUACUUAGUGAGUAAGCAAACUGGGGCAGGACAGGAGGGUGGGAGGCAGACCAGGGCUUUUGGGGAGGUCACUUGCCGUCUUAGCCACCGGUUCCAUCAGGGCACUUAUUGGCUGGGCACUGAUUUUCCACAGUUUCAUCUGUCUACACCUGGUCUUCUCAAUAGAACUAGGAACUAUGGGAACCAGCUCAUAUAUUUCUUUUCUAUAUCCCCCCACUGUGCCCAGGACAGAGCAGAGGAUGGAUGCCGGCGGAACUGAAUCACAACAUUAACAGCAGUUCACUGUUCUGGAGGAUUCUAAGUGCUUUUCUCAUCAUUGAAGCCAGAGAAAACAUUUUCUUUAGGGUGUAACACCUUAAACAUGACGUAGAACCUUCAGUUCUGCAAGCCCAGCCCUGGGAGGUAGGGAGUGCAGGCAUCAAUAACCCCAUUUUACAGAUGAGGAAAGGUGGAGCUCCAGGGAGCAUUGGGAUCUUACUAAAAUGACAGGCACCCCAGUGGAGUGGGAAGAAUCAGUCGUCCUACCCAUUCAAAUCCUGCCUUGAACGCUUCAUAGCUGUGUGACCUGGGGUGAUUCAUCUAACUCUGAUGGCCUCAGUUUUCUCAUCUGCAAAAUGAAGAUAAUAACACUAGUACCACCUGCCUCACAGGGUUGGAGUGAGGGGAAAGUAAAAUACUCCAUCUAAAGUCCUUUGCAGACCAUGGAAUCUUAGCAUUUCAGGACUGGGUGGACUCCCAGGGGCCAUCUGCUCUGACUCAGACCCAGGCAGGAAUGUUCCCUCCCAUGUAUCUGAAAAGGGCUCAUUGAGCCUUUGUCUGAAGAGCUCUGGUGUGGGGGAGCCCACCCCAUCUCUGGGAGCCCAUCCCAUCUCAGGGAGCCCACCCCAUGUCUGGGAGCCCACCCUAUCUCUAGGAGACCAUUCCAUCUCUAGGACCCUGACCCAUCUCUGGGGAGAACACCCCAUCUCUGGGGAGCCCACCCCAUCUCUGGAAGCUGACCCCUUCUCUGGGAGCCCACCACAUCUUUGGGAGCCCAUGCAGAGCCAGCUCGUGUCCUGCUAAAAGCCCACCUUCUGUAGGGAGAAGCCUUUCUUGAUCCCCCUUGAUUCUAGUGCCCUCCCUCUGUGGAUGGCUAUAGCUGUUUCGUGUGUUGUCCCCCCCAUUAGACUGGGAGCUCCUUCAGGGCAGGGACUGUCUUUUGCCUUUCUUGGUAGCCUUAGCAUGUAGCACAAUGCCUGGUAUAUAGUAGGUGCUCAAUAAAUGCUUG